rnacentral:rRNA from 1 species
CCGCGAACGGGUGAGUAACACGUGGGUAACCUGCCCCGAUGACCGGGACAACCCGAGGAAACUCGGGCUAAUACCGGAUGUGCUCCCGGACCGCGAGGUCCGGCAGGAAAGGUAGCUUCGGCUUCCGCAUCGGGAUGGGCCCGCGGCCCAUUAGCUUGUUGGUGGGGUAACGGCCUACCAAGGCUUCGAUGGGUAGCUGGUCUGAGAGGACGAUCAGCCACACUGGGACUGAGACACGGCCCAG